UUUAUUUUUAAGUGGUGCUGAGGAUGGAACCCAGUGCCUCACAGGAGCUAGGUAAGUGCUGUACCACUGAGCUACAACCCCAGCCCUGGCCUUACAAUUCUUUUAAAAAAAAAAAAAAUUUUAUUUUUUAGUUGUAGGUGGACACAAUACCUUUAUGUUAUUUUUUUUAAGAGAGAGAGAGAAUUUUAAUAUUUAUUUUUUAGUUUUCGGCGGACAUAACAUCUUUCUUUGUAUGUGGUGCUGAGGAUCGAACCCAGGCCGCACGCAUGCCAGGCGAGCGCAUUACCACUUGAGCCAUAUCCCCAGCCCUUUAUUUAUUUAUUUUUAUGUGGUGCUGAGGAUUGAACCCAGGGCCUCUCAGGUGCUGUACGAGUGCUCUACCACUGAGCCACAGUCCCAGCCCCGUGGGUGACAUCCUUGGAGGACAGGAACCAGGUUGAUGGAGUCAUGGUGUCCUCCCGAGGGGGGAAUGGGGUCAUUUGUCCUUAGUGAUGGAAAAGAAGGGAAGGCUUCUAGGAAGGCUGAGGUUUUCUCAGUUAGGACCUUCCAUGGGUCACUCUCCCCUCUUGGCUUAUCCCCCUUCCCACCCAGCCAGCACCCAAGGCACAAUCCUGGAUCAUCCUGUCUGUGGAACUCCCCUCUUUGGUCUCCGGCAUACAACCCAUCUCCUACCCAGGAUCCAGAGGAUUGACAGCAACUCCAGAAAGUUCCAAAACAUUGUGUGACAGGGGCUCACUUGAUACUUUGUGUCCUUGUGGCUUUGAAACUGACACGUUUUUUUCUUUUUCCCAAUCUUUUCCCUAAACUUCUCUUUCCUGAUCUUUUUUCCCUUAUCUUCUUCCUGACCUCCUCCCUGAUCUUCUUUUUUCCUGACCUUCUCCUCCCUGAUCUCUCCUCCCAAAUCUCAUUUUCUCUGAAUGACCUCUAUAAAAGCCCCCUGUUCCUGUGGAUGGGCAGAAUCACAGCCUUUGGGACAGAAGUGUCCCCUGUGUUUUUUCUUUGCUAGCAAAGCAAUAAACCUUUUUCCUUUUUCUCAAAACUAUGUCCUCAUUAUUGGAUUGGCAUUGGGGACAAGGACUGGGCUUUCAGCAAUAAUUGCACCUGCGCCCUUGGCCAAGUUGAAUGUCCAACCCCUCCUGAGGUUAUCCUCAGGGGGGUGGAUUCUGAUUUGUUCCCUAACCCCUCCCUGGAUAUAUUCUACCCUUCCCUGUGCCCUUGAGCCUCGGUCUGGAAGGACCAGCUCAGAGCUCUGUGUCUGAACAACCUUUGGUGUGACCAAGCCUGUGGGUUGGUGUUUCUCAUGCUCUCCAAGCCACCUACUGUAGACAUGUGCUACAUAAUGAUGUUCCUGUCAACUGGGCCACAUGCAUAUGUCAUGACAAUUCCAUCAGAUUAGAGCUGAAAGACUCCUGUCAGCUGGUGACCCUGUUGCAGUUGCCACGUUGUGACAAAACUCAUCGCUCACAUGUUUGUGGUGAUGCUGGUGUAAGCAGACCUGGGCGGUUACAAAAGUAGAGCACACACAGUUAUGUAGACUAUACAGCAGCUCCCAGAUGACAAUGAGCCAUUGUGUCACUGGUUUAUUUAAUGCACUCUUUAACCCUUCCCUGGGAUGGAGUGACUGACAGCACUGGCUAGGUUUGUGCAGAUGCACUUUAUGUUGUUUGUUCAGUGACAAAAUCAGCUCACAGGUGUUUCUCAGAAUGUGUCCCCAUCAUUAAGUGAUACAUGACUACCAUCUGGGUGACCUCAAGCAAGUUGCUUAAUCUCCCGGUUCUUUGUCUAUAAAUAAUACUCCAUAAGUAAUAGUCAUUGCAAUACUGGUUUUGGGGACUUAUGCUGUUUUAAAAGUUCUGAAAUGUUGGUAUUUUGUUGAUAUAAUAUUGCUAAUUUAUUACCUAAAAAUAACCUGGAAUAUGUUUUAUGUUUAUGUUCAGAUUAAGAUCAACAAUUUGGACUCAAUUUAUGUGAAAAUACUCAGUGUUACUCCACAAAUCUAUUCAGAUCCGCCCCUGUGCAAAACAUCCAUAUUGAGCUACUGCAGAGCUUCUGUUAAAGCAUGAGUGUUAUUCUAGGCCAAGGGCUUUUGAAACAAAUGAGUAUGGAUAUGAGAAAAAUGGAAAUUGACCCACGGAAACUGCAUCUCUACUCGGUGAACAUAAAGAAGAGAAAAAGUUUUAAAUAUACUUUCUUGGAGGACAAAACAAUAUGCAGUUCAUUAGCUCAAAAACUGUGCAGAAAAAGUAAAAUAAAAAUGUGUGCAU
rnacentral:lncRNA from 1 species